UUUCAGUGUAAGCACCUGCAAAUCACCUCCUACUCACUUGAAAGAAGAGAGGAAAUCGUUUCCAGUCAGAAUCACUGCAUUUACACUUUUUCAGUUCAGAAAGAUGAUUCCCAGCUCUCUACAUGCCAACGAUGGCAGCUGGAGCAAGAACUCGGUUUGGAAUCAAGCAAGAACUCGGUUUGCUGUCACAAACAAGAAUACAAUGGUGUGCUUUGCCAAAGGACCCACCUACAACACUCCUUUUUUCUUUCAUAGAUCUACUUUUCAUUCAUGGGAAACCCUGCUCCUCCACAUCAUACAUUCCUUUGGCUCCUUGGGCAUGCAAACUUUCAAGUGGGCUCUGCUAAGGAAUAAGGAGGAGGCAUCACAGCAUGUAACUUCAACCCACCAUUGGGAUUGCAGAAAGGAGCCGAGCUGAGAAUGGAACCUUUCUUUCCAUCUCUGAUGUUUAAAGGUUCCUUGUCAUCUUCUAAAACAGCUUAUCUGAGCCAAAAUGCAGAGAACAGUUUAUGAAAUUUUGUCCUUUUGAAACAGAGCCCUGAGCUUUCCUCCUACUCAUAUCCAAACCUAAUCUUAUCCCAAGCAACAGCCUCAGCUACUUUGCAGCCCAGACUUCUUCUCAGGUCUUUCCCUGACAUUAAAGGAUUUCUUGUUGUUGUACCACUGUGCAUCUGAAACAGCUGUUGUGUGUUACAGUCCUGUGAGGUAACCUGGUAAAUGAAAACAUAGUGAAUGGCAUACUAAUAUUAUUAAUCUAUUUCUUGUUCCUUCACUGAGGAAAUUUGCAUAAUUAACCCCCUAGAGGUUCUUAUUUAUCAGCAUAACAUUGGUUUCGUUUGCCAUUGCAUUCCAAAUAUUGUUUUGCCCUGGAGAUCUGUUGUGCUAGAGCAGAGCUUCAGAGGAAGAUUUCUAUUCCACAUGCCAAAUGUUGCUAUUAUCCCUACUAGAAUAAUAGGGGAAGGAUUUUGGCUCUAGAUACAUGGAAUUUUAUGAAGAGGCAAUCUAUGCUUUUACACACAGGGUCCCACCUGGAUUAUUUCUUGAGGUGGUGCUCAGAAGAGGGUUGAUCCCAAUGCAAGAGGGGUGAUUCCCCAUCAAUCCCAGUACACUGUUUUGGUAGGAGCAUUGUGUCUCUGGGCAGCCCACUGAUGAGGCAACUUCUUAUGAAAAAGAAGUUCCUGCCCUAAGUAUUGCUUUGAAAGCCAUCCAACAUGGUGUUUCACAGCAAGGAAGGAGAGGUACAUUGUCCCUUUUUUUCUGAUUACAUCACACUGUGUCCCCACUUGAGGCAGGUAAUACAUUUCGGUCUUUUGGUGACGUUAAGUGCCUGCUGCAUAAUUUACAGUACUUUGUUGCUUUGAACAUUUGCAUCCUAAUUACUGUUAAGCAGCAGAUGCCCAAUAAAUGUUGGGAUUACAUGUGUCCUUCCACCAUCUGUCUUAGAUUACUUCAUCUUUGUAGGUAAACUCAUAACAUCUUAAAAGCAGCUGAUCCCCUUCCGGCAAAGUGACUUGGUGUUCCUAUUAAUCACUUUUCAUAACUCAUUGCCUUCCUCACCUAAAUUGCAGGUUGCUCUGGAUGUGCACAGAGCCCUGGAUGUGCACAGAGACCCAACAAGCCCUAUGUAAUGCUGUGCCAGCCCUGUGAAGAGGCAGGGGCAUAGGUAUCCUACGUUGCAUCGCUAUUGACCUCAUGGCAAGUCAAACAGGAAGCCCAAAGCAAGGCAACAGGGCAGGUGAGCAGAUAGACAGAGGAAAAAGCCCUGAGGCUCAGAAGAGUGGGCUGAUCAAGGAGGUGGUCACCAGGAACAGAGGAAAUCCAGACCUAACUGAAGAAAAUCCCAAGGCCGUUUCUGCUUUGAUGGGAGCUGCAACUGCUCCACCAGUUUUCAUCUCUGUCUGCCUCCUCCUAUGUUUUCUCUUCCAUGGGUAAUGUACUGGGGACAGGGAAGGAAGUACCAGGACUACUUAGUGGUAGUUGGCUCCGAUAGUUUAUGUGCUCAUGUACUAAAAGAGCAGAAUUAUCACAUGCCCUUUAAAAAAACACACCUACUGAAUGCACAAAACUAGAGAUGAACAAAAUUGCUGUCUGCUAAUGACAGUAUGGAAGUAGUGGGUCAAAAAACAGCCAGAAAAUGAUUUCCCCAAUUUCCCCUCUAAUAAACCGUAAUCCUGAGCUGAUUUGUUUUUAAGGAGUUCUGGCAUUACUCCAAAGGGCUGCAUUUUCCAGAGAUGAGCUAUCCAUUUCCUCUGGUCUUUUGAACAUGGUUGCAGCUGAACUUUUAAGCCAGAUCAUCCCAAUUUGCCAGGCAUGAGAUUAUUGCUGGUGUGCAAAAUGAGGAAGAGAAUUAAAAAUAACCAUGCCAGUAGCUGUGCAGUCUGUUGGUUUAAGGCUUAGAGGUUUAUGUGUCAUUUGGAAGUACUUCAGUUCCAGAAUAGGCUGUCCACUAAGCCUCUGUUGUAGGGAGACACACAGUACAGAUCUGACUCCUUGCUUUUCACAGAUCAGCUUAGGAUACAGAAGCAUGAAAAAACACUCAGACACUCAUUUUAGAACUGAAUAGGUCAGUGCUUUAACUGCACAUGAUGAAAGCCAGUAGUGUACUUGGGUAUACUUAGCUCAGCUUAGCUCAAAUUAAUUGUAUUAUGCACAUGUUAGGCUGUAUCAUAUAAUGCAGCAUAGCACACGCAUGGUCCUCAAAGGCAGAAAUGAGUGACUCCAGCCACAUAGAAAAGAUGCUGAUGAAAUUUCAAAAAUCAGAUUUCCUGAUGGUUUAUUUAUUUUUGCAAAAAUGCAUUUUUUGAAUGUAAGCAUUUUUAGAUUCUUCCUUUUUAUUGCUGAGCAAAUGCCCUACAUUUAAGUGCAGUUCAUAAACCUUCUGUACCCACUAAUGAGGAAAACGUUUGCAACUCUUAGACACAGGCCAGACAAAGAACCCAGUAGCCAAAGCUGUUCAUAUAUCCCAAGACUCUCUUAUUCCUCAUCUCUUUUUCGGGUAUAUGUGUUUUAAUUCCUACAUAAAGAAAUGGAACUUUCUGUAGUCUUUCAAUGUAAAUUUAGUGCAGGAGAUUUACUUCACAUAUCUCUUGUGAAGUAAAGAGGUUCUUUAAACUAGAUUUGGACACUUUAAAAUAUAUUACCAAUUCAUCACACACCAUGUAACUUAAUGUGUCAUUUUGCAUCCAGAUAUCAGUAGCUUUUCUUAACAUUAAAAGAGUUGCUACGUUAUGGUCAGCCUUCUGUCAACCCAGGUAAAGAGCUAUUCAUUACCUUUUGUUUUUAAUUAUACCUACCUAAGGCCUGGGCCUGAUGCGUUUUGAGCCCAUGGUAACUCUUUAGCAGGCAGUGAUCCUUUAGAGGGGAAAUGAGGAAUGUUUAGCUGUUAAAAACAGUUUUUAGUGGAGCUGAUGUCCUCAAUUAGUCCUUUUUACUUAAUAAUUGCCACUUCUUUUUCCUCUUGCUAGCUAAGUACAUCUUCUUUUGUUUUCUGAGAUGUCCAGAGUGUUAAAACUAAACUUCCUCCUCACCUUGAAUAAUACAAAUGCAGCAGUCACCACUAAACAUCUGGCAAUUACACCUGAAAUAUCCACCAAGGAUUUGCUAUUAUGAUUCUAAGAAGAGGGAAAAACCAUAAGUGGUUGGGUUUGUUGUUAGUAUCCAACAGACAAAAGUACAUCAGUGCUCUUAGGAGAGGACACAGGAUUUCAUAAUCUUUCUGUGUAGAUGAUUUGACUUCUAAUUAUUUAGUUUUUAUGGGCCUCCCCCAACUCUGUUCCUCCUCACCCUGAGCAGAAUGAACACACAUCUUUACAGACCCUGUCUGUUCCAGCCAGCAUCCUGGAAGUGACAUCUGCCCAACCUUUUUUCAAAGCCAGGUACUGUAGCUGAGUUGUCCAGACACUGCUGGUGUCAGGGCACUGGCAGCUCUAGCCAGAAAAGCACACUGGAUGGGUGACAUAGCAUCCACAUGUGUGGGUUAUUUCAAGCAGCUCAGGCAAAAAUACAUCCAUUGUUCAACAGUCCCUAGAACUGUUAAUCUUGUUCCUCUAUGCCAACAGCUGUCCUAUUAAUUGUGUAUUUUUCAUAGACGUAGUUCCGCAAAUUCCAUGUGAUACAUAAAGAUCAAUAAAAAUAAGGUCAUUUAUAAACACCUCCUUCUUUCUCAGCCUCUCUGCCCUGCUCCCAGGAUAUGCCUGUUGGCAGGGUGAACCACCUGUCACAGACUUCGUCCACUUCGUCCACACCAAACGAUAAAGCACUGAGAGGCAUAAUGAUGGUGAGCAGUUAAAAGCAAAAUAAAAGGGAAAAAUAAUAAAAGAAAAGCACCUAUAAACAUAUUGGUGCAUGUAUAGCUCAGCCAACAUGGACUAGAACCACCAAAUACAUUUCUGCUACCUAGUUUAUACUUAUUGAAUGCCCUCAUGUAUUUUCCACAAGUGCUUACCUUCCAUUUCAUUUAACGUAACCCAUUGAUUUCAAAACUUGACGUAGGAAAGGUCUCUCUGGGGCCCCACAAUUAUAGCAAGUUGUGCA